rnacentral:lncRNA from 1 species
UUUGAGGAAAUGACCAAUAAAUUUAAUAAAAUUUUUAAUUUAAAAUUUUUAAUUUAAUUGACUAUGAUUAUUUAGGUUUUGUUUGGGAGUGAGAUGUGGUGCAAAAAGUUGCGUCUCAUGCAUCACUAGUGUAGUAACACGCGCGUUGCGGCGGGCAAAACACAAAGCAAACUGAAGAUGUUGAGUGAAAACUGUGAAAAGAUAUGUUUAGCUAGUAAUAUACUCAUUCACCAUUAUUUCAUAAUAUAAAAUAGACUCCUAGAAAGAUUAAGAAUUGUAGAAAUUAUCUCGUUUAAACUAUUAGGUAGAAAAUCUAAAAUACAGCAGAAAAAUCACCAGCAAAUGUAAACUCAAAAUUUAUAAUAAAAUACUUAUGAAAAAGGAAGAAUAAACAUAACUGAUAGCAACAGCUAGCAGAAUAACAAAAAUAAUAGAAGAAUCUAAAAUUUUGACAGUUUCUUGAAGAGACAUAUAUGCAAACUUAUAUA